AUUGAACGCUGGCGGCAUGCCUUACACAUGCAAGUCGAACGGCAGCAUGAUCUAGCUUGCUAGAUUGAUGGCGAGUGGCGAACGGGUGAGUAAUACAUCGGAACGUGCCCUGUAGUGGGGGAUAACUAGUCGAAAGAUUAGCUAAUACCGCAUACGACCUGAGGGUGAAAGUGGGGGACCGCAAGGCCUCAUGCUAUAGGAGCGGCCGAGGUCUGAUUAGCGAGUUGGUGGGGUAAAGGCUCACCAAGGCGACGAUCAGUAGCUGGUCUGAGAGGACGAUCAGCCACACUGGGACUGAGACACGGCCCAGACUCCUACGGGAGGCAGCAGUGGGGAAUUUUGGACAAUGGGGGCAACCCUGAUCCAGCAAUGCCGCGUAUGUGAAGAAGGCCUUCGGGUUGUAAAGCACUUUUGUCCGGAAAGAAAUCGCACUUACUAAUAUUAGGUGUGGAUGACGGUACCGGAAGAAUAAGGACCGGCUAACUACGUGCCAGCCGCCGCCGUAAGAC
rnacentral:rRNA from 1 species